rnacentral:lncRNA from 1 species
GCUGAGUUCGCGACCUCGAGUUGUAAUCUGGCGGGGCGCCACUAAGCCGGCGCAGGCCUUCGCAAGAUGGCGGCUGGAGGCAAGGGCAGAGGCCUUCAGAGCGUUUUCUUUUUCCCUUUCCUCCCUUCCUGCAAACAAUGUGGCUACAGUUUAACUGGAAGUGACAAACUGAGGAAACUGAGGCACUGGAAGAUGAAGGCUACAGAGGUAGAAAGUGAUGGAGGCUGGAGUGCAAUGGCGUGAUCCCAGCUUGUUGCAACCUCUGCCUCUCGGCUUCAAGCAGUUCUUCUGCCUCAGCCUCCAGAGUAGCUG